GGUACAGCAGCCUUAGAAAGUCAAUAUAGAUACUACAUCCUAUUGUCACCACCAUUGAAAUACAUUUGGAAUCUUAAGAUCAAGGAGGAGAUUGUGGUUAUAAAUGUCUGAUGGCAUCUCUACAUCUCAGGUGAAGCAUGGAGGAUUUCACAGAUGAAGUGAGUGAUACCUGAAUAGCUAUUGGAGAAUAUGUAAAAGAACAAGUGAAACUAGGUAGCUUAUAAUGAACAGAAAUUUAUUUAGCAAGAGCGUGGCACCUGCAUCUGAUGAGAGUCAUCCCAUGGCAGAAGAGUAGAAGGCAGAAAAAGCAGUCUGAGGAAACUGGCCAAUAAGGAAGCUUACACUCAAACAACAACUUCAGACUCAGUGAGAAACAGAGCAUGAAUCUGAAGAAGUCAUACAAACGUGAGAAAGAAGUUGAGAAAGAGAUUUUCCUGCGUAAGAAAAUGCUGUGUUUGAAAAGUCUGUUGAAAGUUUUUUUAGAUCUUUCCUGAUUACGAAUCCAGUCUGCUAAUGUGAAGAAGCCUGGACAAAUUUAGAGAACUGCCCCACUGAAACUAACUGUGGUGAUCAUCAAGAAAUGAAGAUUGAACCUCAAAAAGAUACUACAGAAUUCAUCUUUGUGAAUUUGGGGCUCUAGUGGAUAAUUAAUGGUUCCUGAUUGAGAUUAAUUCAAGGACAAUUGAAUGAAUAUCGCAGACCUCUUGACUCACUUAAGAGUUCAUAAACAAAUACGCAAAUUGGAGAGCGGUAGCAUUUUGAUAAAUAUUAUCCAGCUUUUUUAUAAGAUGUUAAGAGUCUCCAGAAAUAAAAAGCAGCAACAACAACAUUAUUAAGAGUCAGAUACUAUUAGGACCACUAUGAUCUAUUCAUUGGCUGUCAUACCUCCAUAACAGUUUAAAUUACAAACAAAACCAGAAAACAACUGUUAGCUAGCCUGACAGUUAUUUAAUUACUAUUGGCAUUGACAACUUAGAUUAAUUUAUUUUCAAUAGGUAGAUCUUUAACAUUCUUCAUCAUAGUAGGAUUUUGCAGAAUUUUAUCCCAACUCAGAUAAUUUUCUUUUUCUAAUUUCCUAUCAUUGAGAAAGAUGAAAAUAAGAAUACAAAUGCUAUAUAUUUGUGUGUUCAAUUUGAUCAAGCACUGAUUUUGGGGGAUAGUUUAUUUUAGUUUGAGACGUUUUUAGCCUUAUUUGGCAGAUAUGCACAUCGAUUGAAUAGACCCAUCUGUUGUCCCAGCAAUUAGUUGGCUUGCAUCUAGAUAAAUCAGGCAUGUAUCCAAUGUGAGAGGAAUCUUCUGUGGGAGGCCUUGAUUAUGAAAUUAAGAUGUGGCUUCCAAGAGAAAUGCCAACUGAAUGUAAGCCAUGAGCCUGUGCAUUCAUUCAUGGCAUUUUGGGAAUUUUCUGAGACAUACACCGUUUACUCAAAAUAUUAAUUGAAAAAAGUUCAUUUGUCAGAAUAAAAUUGGCUUCAGAUUUGCUUUGA
rnacentral:lncRNA from 1 species